rnacentral:lncRNA from 1 species
UGCCAGAAUACAAACUGAAGUCAGACAUGACAGCAGCUGCUGCUGGAGCCAGUGCUGCUCUGCUAGUCGUCAUACCUGCCAUCGUCUACAUCUGGAUCAGAAUGAAGAGGACCUUGGAUCGACCGUCCACAACUGGAGGAAGUGACAUCACACCACAGUUAAACAGCUUUCAUGUUUAUGAAAACAUCCCAGUUCAACCACCACAGCACGAUGACGUUACUUACAGCACCAUCAACUUCCAACCCAAAGAGUGUGAGCAUGGCGCUUACGCUGUUGUCUGCUUCAGACCCGAUGUCUAAAUGACUGAUUCACAGUCAGCUUAGCUACAAACCAGUCAUUGUUGCUGUUAAAGCAGAACUGGAUCACUUCAACGUCCACUGGUGUGAGACACUGGUGGUGGCUUUGCCAACAAAUAAUGCAUGUGUAAAGUUUACAAAGUUAGUUUACAGUUUUUACUUUACUUUUACUACAGGGCAUAAAAGCUGUUAGCUAACACUGACUGGCUGAUCUGAUCAAAGUAAUUAGAUCUAAACAUAAGUAGCAGGCAGGAGAGCGUUUUAGCAGCCAGAGUGGGAUGAACCGAGAACCACAGAUCAGCUGAGGACACGUUUCUGGUGUUUGACGCACAUUUUUUGACACACACCACAAGAAAAAAGGUGCCUCAGAUGGUGCCAUAUCAACAGCGUCAUCUCCAGGACAGUUGUUGCUAAAGAGCACACAGCGCAUGGUGUCGUGUAACAGUGCACAUCUCCAGUGAGCAUUUAGUUGAGCUGCAUGUACUGUACAGUUUAUGGAGCUACGAGGACAAGCAAUGGCGUUUGGAUUCAGAUGGUGGAUGUUCAGUUUAUUUAUCUGUUGUACACAUUGAUGUAGUCUCUCUCUCUUUAUUUUGUGAAUAAGCCUCAUUUACUUUUAUUUGCACAGUGCGUGUUAAUCGCUAUGAUUAAAAGUAUGUGGGUUCAUACUGUAGAUGCACCUGCUCCCCUGUAUAAUGGCUUUUUAUUUUCUUAAUGCUUAAUACUGUACCAUUGAAGUGUUAUGAAUAAUUAUGGUUGAACAUAAAAACAUUUUGUGAAUUACAACUUUUUGAGUAUGUCUAAAGUGCAACCUCGAUUUUUCAGCAACUUUUAGUUUGUUAUUACAAAAAAUAGAAAUAAAGUGCUUUAAUGUGACA